AGAUGCUAUUACACUACUGUAUUUUGUAGCUGUCUAAGACACUGCUUUAGUGGCAGGUCCAGUAUAAAACAUUAUGAGAUGACUCUACAGCACGUUAUGAUGUCUCUGCAAAGGUUUCAGAAGAGCCAUUGACUUGAAGGUCAUGGAGGUUGCUGGAUCCUAUCCCAGCUGUCAUCGAGUGAGAGGUGGGGUACGCCCUGGACCAUUCGCCAGUCUGUCACAGGGCCAACACAGAGACAAACAGCCAUUCACACUCACACUCAGACCUUGGGUCAAUUUAGGAUAUCUAAUCAGCCUAACGAGCAUGUCUUUGGAGUACCCGGAUGAAAACCCAUGGGGAUACAGGAAGAACAUGCAAACUCCACCCAGAAAGGCCCAAGCUGGAUGAUUCAAGUUUCAACCUUCUUUAUUGUCAAAUACUCGACGUUACAAUACAAUGUAACAUCAUUACCAGUACUGGGAUCCUUGGUGCAUGGAUUUGAGGAGAAUCUCAGCUAAAUGAUUAACCAGGAAAGAGGCAGUGUGGACCCUGGAUUGCAAGUCAGUGAGUAAUGUUACCUCCUGUUUGAAACCAACCAAGGAACUACCACAUUUUCCCAGCAGAUGGCGAUUUAAUCAUUAGUUUGGAUGUGUUAAAUGCAAGAAGUAACUGAUUAUACAACAUGAAUGUUCCGUCACUUCAGACUUUAUAUUCUCCCACGAAAAAGUUUGUUCAUAAAUCCUGUUCACUGGAAAUUAAUACGAUGAUUUAUUCUUCUACGACUUCGCUAUUUCUGUCACUAGAUGCAAAGGCUCAAACUAAAGUUCAAAACAGCAAAAACAUGCAAAUCAAAUACGACAUAGUAUAUUUUCAAAGCACCUUUAUUCAUUCAUUCAUUUUGUUAACGUGGAAAGUGUGUAAAGUUUAUUGACAAGCAACAUUUAACCAAGUAAAUGAAAACAGAAACA